UGAGCCAGAGGCAGGGAGGAGGCAGCGAAGGAGCAGCUCUCCUCCUGAGCCUCCAUCCCAGAGAAGACAGAGAGGGAGAAGACAGAGAGAAGUCGACAGUCCCGCCUCACCGGCGCGUCUCCUGCAGCUCCUGAAGUUAAAACCGAGACAUCCGUUGUGAGGUCAAGCGUACACGAUGUACUAAGAGAGUUUGUGACUGAACCUGAAAAGACUGAUCGUCCUGAACACACAGGUGAGUCUCACUGUUCUUGCUGUCUCCUAAUAACAAGGAUCCUUGAAAUGAUGGAUGGUAGUACGAAGUUAACAUCAGACAUUGUGAAGUGUGAGCAAUGCCUGGAUGAUAAGUCAAGUAAUCCCUCAGAAUAUUUAUAGUGUUUUAUACCAGAAGGGAUCUGACAUUUUUAUUACAUUGAUUCACCUCCAUGUAAUCUACUGGAACAGAAACAUGAUUAAAAUUUAAAAAUCAAUCAUGCAUUUGCCAUUUACAGACGUCUGCAUGGCGUCAGGGCAAAAACACAUCAAAUAAGUGAAAAAGACGAGUCUCAGAGAUCAAUACUCGAACUAUUCUUGUCUUUGAGUUAGCUGGACUCUUCUUUCUAUGAAUUUUAAAGUUAAACACGUGUAACCAUCAGAGAAGCUGCGCCAUUUAUCCAUAUCCUUCGCCUGCAGCAGUCACUUCCAUAAGGAAAACAUGUUGUGCCCAUACUGCACUGAAGCCAUUAUCAGGUCUAUCCCUGAGAACAAAGUGAAUUCAGCCUGCAGAGACACAAAGUCUGUAAGAAUAAUGAUUACUUCCUACGACAUAUACCUUUUGCAAAGUGCACAUUUUCUCGGAAUAUAUAAAACAAUCCAUGCAUAGGUGCCCAUACCAAACCAACUCUGGCAUAAAUAAAUAAAUGAGAAGUUACAUGAUCAAAUUAAGUAAAUGAAAUGACUCAGUGGCUGCCCUGCAUAAUGAAACACUAUUAUAAGGUAUUGAAAGUAUUGCAAAGGCAAUGGUGCUGAAGUCUUUGCCAAGCAAUAAACUACUUAUCAGGAGAAAACAGAGUUAGCAAGAACUAUUGUCGCUUUUAGAAAGCAUGAAAAGACAGCCUAAUGUGUUUUAAUGAAACUCUAAGAAAGAACCACUUUAAACUUUAAAGGGUAGUUUAAGCAGUAAAAUGAGAAAUGAAAUAAGUCCUGAAAUAUCUUUAUAUUGCUUUCUAAAGUGCACUGGCUGUGCAGCAGAACUUUGUGAGGGUGUGAAUCUAAGUGGAAAGCACACACGUUAAUAGCUACAUUUCCUUGACUUUUUCUAUUUUCAGAUUCAAUCUUCUAUUUUCAGGGGGGAGCUGCACCGGUGUAGAAAGCCGAGGUGAUUACUUUCGGUAUCUGUUUGUAUCUCCCAAUAAUGAUGAUGAUGAUGAUAUCUGGAGCUUAAGAUGCAACAAAAACACUGCGUUAUGCAGAGUUCACCUUCCAGUCUGUGUUAAUGAGAUGACUCCUGCACCCAUAUGCUGCUGUUUAAUUUGCAGAAACCUGCAUGCUGCCGGUAUGAAGAUGGUCAGUGCAGUCAUUGUGUGCAUUAUAGAAUAUAUGCAGCUUUCGACGCUGAGUAUGCCACUAGUGAAUGUCUGAAUGUCCAGCUGUGCGGCGAGCUCAUCCUCCCUGAGGUAGUUACGCGGGAAAGGAUGAUGCAAGUGGAGCAAAAUAUCCGCAUUACCGACACAGCCUUAAAUGCUGUGUUUUGUCACAUUUUUAAUGAUCGUGCCCUCACUAAGCUCAGGUUGCGACGUAUCAGCGCUGACCCUCGUGGGCUGAGCUCUGGUAACACCUUCCAAUCUGUGUUAAUGAGAUGACUCCACUCCGUCUACGGGUCACGGUGAUAUUUACAGAAACCGUUGUAGCGGCAGAGAUCCGCGCCUCCCUGCGGUGCGUCCUCGCCUCAUUUGCAUAGCUUUCAGACUUCCCUUCCUCACUCUCCCUGUUUCAUCGCUCUCGCUGUGCUCCUCCGUGAUCGACAGGCUCCUUCACACUUCUCUCCAGUUUGUGUCGCACAUGUUAAUUAAAGCUUCUAAUUAGCUUCCCGUACUAAAAGGCCGCAUUAAAUCAGAGUUGGAAUGGCAAAUGAUUCCUGGCAUUAGCAUAAUUGUGUUUUUGAAGUGUAAAGAUUCGGGCAUUAGGGAUGCUAGCACGCGUUUUUGUUUCAAUGAUUUGUUGUGUUUGUGGCUCAGGGCCCAAGGGGCUGCUGGAGGUUGGCUGGGUGGGUUCUGGGGCCUCAGGACCCUACAGGGGCCACACGCUAAUGAGCCCCGCUAUUCUCUGAUGAAGCAGAUACAGGAAAAACAAAGCUGCAAUGUAAUACCCUCAGGUGCCCCUAAGAGUCCAUCACAGCAGAGUUUGCUAUAUGUGCAGAGAAAGUAACAGAUAGUAAACCAGCCCCCACCUCCUCAUAACCAUUGCAUCACUCUAAAAUUGCAAAUCACAUUCAGAGGUACCUCAGUACUUACAAGCUCUGUACAUAAAAUAGCACUUACAAAUGAGUCAUCGGCUUGGUGAUUGUUCGAAAUGCUCUGAAUCACAGCGGAGCUGACAGCAACUUUCAAAAGCCAUUGAUUAGAUCUGUAAUGAUUUUGUGCAUUCGAUUCACUGUGCUGAACAACUACAGUUUACUAAUGUUCUCAAAAAUUUCACAUUUCAUAAAGCAAGCUACAGAAAGCAGAAUUUAAAUCCCACACACGGUGGUUUAAAGUGUAAAAGAAGCAACUACAAACGUAGCUAUGAACUGCAAGGAGUGUAAUGGCAGGAUUUAGUUGCUAUGGAAGCAAAGAGAGUGACAAACAAGCAAAAGUACAUCUGCAAAUUUUUGGAGGUUGUAAUUUUUGGUUUUAUUAAAGCGCGCAUCCUGACCAAGCAUAAAAAUUAGUCUGAAAAAUUAACCAAGGGGCAGCCAAAAACUGCAGUUCAUCAACUGGCCACUUGAGGCUGACUCCCAAGAGUAGGUCAAUCCAAUGACUCCUAUAUUAAAAGGCACAACUUGAGUAGUCCAUGAUCAUGUUUACAACCAUGUAUGGUCAUGAUGACACAACAACUUUAUGUGGGGGGAAUUUUUUGUUAAAGGCCCUCAAUCAAAAAAUAUUGAGGCAUAAAGUUCUGAAAUAUUGGGAGCAGCUGAGGAGGAAAAAGAUGGGUGACAACAUAGUCCGCUAGGCUGCACGACAGCGAAUUUUAUUGCAAUUUUUUGAAAAAUUAAUCUUUUGAAAAUUAAAAAAAAAAAAAAUUCAUGCUUUUUGACUGAAAUUAUAGUAUUUGUUUGUAUUACUUAGCACUCAAGAGCCGUUACACGUGUAAAUUUCAUUUGCUAGAUUAGCCUUUCUAGCACACGUCCAUAAAGGGUCAGUUGCAUCCUUUCUGCAGCCUAAGCAGAGGCGCCCCACCUCUCCCCAGCCACCUCCUGCAGCUCAUCUAGGGGCACACCAAGGUGUUCCCAAGCCAGAUAUAAUCUCUCUAUUAUGUCCUGGUCCUGCUUCAAGGCAAAUACAAUCAAUUCAGGAUUAAAAAAAACUAAAGGGCUAAGAAUAGCCAUGUCAAUCUUUUAUAUACAGUUUAUGGUAAGCAGCCUGGUUGAAAUUUUGGAAAAUGUCAGUCCCAGUUAUCCAUAACACUAUAGAGCCACAAAGACGUUUGCAUCUGUUUGUGGGAGUUGUAGUUCCACCCUAAUGUGAGAACAUAUUGUCAAAAAUAAAACCUGUAUAUGUCCGUCAGCUGUACUCAAACUGUCCUGUCACAGGAGAGUGAUGACUUCAGGAUCCACUUCCUUAUUAGUGUUAGACUCUGAUGCCCCAGGUCAUGUCCUCUAUUAUAGAGUGACAUAUCUGGAUUUACAAGUGAUUAGUGCUGUGCACGUCGUCAGCUAUCAAACAUGACUGAAGCUGUCAGCAUCCCAUGAAUCGUGCCUUGGGGUAAACAUGAUGUACUUUUCAGGAGCUUCCUCUGGGUGAACUCGCUCACUGCUUCUGUGGUGAAAUUAUUCAGGGUGAACUCGUCUACCCAAAGGCGCAGUGGUGGAACGGUGACAGUUUGGGGGUUGUGUGAUAGCUGAGAGUGUUGUCAUAUGAGUUAUUAUUGAACCAGCCAGACAUACCACAAUGCAGCACAUUCCCGUUCUGGCCUCGAUUCCGCUCCAGGCAUGAAAACCCAUUAAGAUGCAUUGCAGAAAAGUUGAAGAAAUGAUGUAAGGAGGAGGCAGCAGACAGAAUUAUUACCACUUCUACACAAGGCUGCCUUUAAUAUCAUUAAUUCUAAUUAAACGAUUUUUCUGUCAGCAGUCAAAUCAUUUCUGGGUUUUGUUUUUUUUUCCAAGACCAAUGUUGAUUACAUAACGGCAUACUGCCACGUUCUUGAAGUGACAGAUGUAAUUAUGUGGAAUGAUUUUUUUUAAUGGCUGCAAUAUGCAUUUUUACUUUUGAGGGAGAGAGAGAAAGAAAGAAAAACAUUAAGAAAAGACGGAAAGCAAUAGAAAAGACAAACUCAGAGAAAUAUGGAGACUGCAUGCAGCGCCAGACUCUGUUUGGAAGUCUAACAUUCAUUAUGUCUGUUUCACUGGUGCUGUUAGUCAGAGCUUAGUAGGAGAUCGCAGCCAGCCAGCAGAGGAACCAAGGGCACUGCCAGAGGCUUGAUUUACACAACAAAAAGACAUUUCACCCUAUGUGACCUGGACAGGACUUUAACAUUGUUUCUCAAAGUUUUGCCAAGUUUAUGUAGUUGCAGCUGCCAAAAGGAAACUCCGCUAGAACGAGCUGUGAAUGUUGGCCGCUGUGCCCCCGCUGCAUCCAUCUAUUCUUGCUGCAUCUGUGUUGAUUGCAGCUCCAACUUCUGUCAACAAGUACAUGAAGUUUGAACUUUACUUAAGCUGCAAAAAGACACUGAGGUCUGUCGUUAUAGAGGAGUCAAGAGUUACUUGGCAUUGCGCAGAGCAGAAAAUAGCUAAGUUCAACCCAGUGAUUGCCUUUAUAAACAACAGUAAUAAACCGAGACACAACAGCACCACACAGCUCGCAAAGCACAAACCAUGUAAUUAUAUCAUUUCUGUGAAUGUGGUUUCCUCUCUCAUUCCCUUUCUUCACUUAAAAAUCAAAUUAUUUUGGAGUCUGGAGCAUUAUGGAAGUGCAUUACACAAGAAGAAUGCAUAAGAAUAAAGCUGACAACUGGUAGAAUAUAGGAAAUGGCGCAGGUAUUGUGUUAUACCUUUGCAAUAUAUUAACUGACCUGUUGAUAUCACUGUUUUUAUUUUGAUAAAUAAACUUUAAUGCCAUAAAUAAAUGCAACAUGACUAAGAGUCUUUGGCUUGCAUCAGCUAAUAUACUUACAAGAACAGUGCUGGCAUGCUAAUAGAGUAUUUGACAGGCAGUCUUAACACUUUAGCACAAAGCAGAGUUAAAGAUUAUAAGAAUAUCUUUGAUUUUUCAGGUAUUUGGCUGCAAACGUCCAUCCAUUUAAUUCCAUUUAGCCAAUUCAUAUUGGCCCUUGUGAGCUGUCUUAGGAUGAGAGGCAGGAGCGGUCUCGUCUCGCUGUCAUGAACAGCAAAUAUGACGUCAGCAAACACGUGAUGCGAGCUGUGCUUUUGUGUCGUUUUGGCCCUUCGUGCAGGUCAAACCUCCACCAGGUUAAAGGCAUGAGUAUGUGACUGUGUCAGUUCUUACUGCCAGUUUAUAUCAGAUUAUACAGAGGGAGAUGUUGCAACAGUUUGAAAAGCAAUUUCUUUGCCUUCAGCUUUGACUUCUUCUCUUCCUAUACCGGCGCUGAUUUGGACCAGUGUUUGCUCGCAACACGUCCAAUCCGGCAAAUAUAAUGGACCCAUAACACAGAGAGACAGACUCACACACAGUCACAUCUAUGGACAUAUUAGAAUCACCAAUCACUUCAAGAGAAUAUUCAAACUUUAAAAGGAAGGCCAGUCAGUGGAUUUGAACCAUUGCUUUGUAAUGAGGGUGCUAAGCACCCUGCCCUUCCUGAUGCCAGCAGCAUAGGUUAUUGCAGUUUUUUUGCAAUGUAUUUAACAAGUUGUCUGUCCAAUUAGUGUAGAGAUAUGUUUGUCAAACAAACAAAGCAAAAAAACUAUACAAAUGACAACUUUAUUGCUGUGUUAAGAGAACAAAUCCAAGGACUGACAGAGUCAUGAGGGAGCCAUCAUGGUGAACAAUUAAAUUUUAAUAGUAUUCAGACUAAACCAAAAUAGCAGAUUGAGCCAGAGUGCUAUCUGUAGAAUCACACAGGUAAUUCAAUAAGAAUUGUUUUUCCUCUCUAACAGCAGUUGGCAACACAUAAAAAUCCAAUCGCCUGAGAUGUUUGUGUUCCAAGAAACCUCUCAUAAUCUGCUCCACAUAUCUGACAGAUGGGUAGUCGUUAAAGCGCGAGUGUUACAUAGCCACAGGUCUGUGUUCCAACAUUAGAUUCGUAGAUUUCAAAUGAGCCAUGAUGUGCUUACAGGUGUGCAUUUAUUGGCCGUUUUACAGCAGCUUCAAAAGUGACUCAGCUAACCAGAAGUAAGGACCAAAGCAAUCUCUUUAAUCACUAUAGAAAGAAAACAGAUCUGAUUUAUAAUGUAAGGUUCACUCCUAUUCUCCUGAGAUAUUGAAGCUAUUUGACCAAUGACUAAAUUCAUCAGCUCAAGUUCAACAUGUACGUUGUUUCUGCAUUUAAAAAAUAAUAAUUUUCUUUGGUUUUAGAGGUGUUGUCAAUAACAUGCAGGCAUUGUAAAGUGAAAUGUGGGCAUUCACCUUUAAGAAGCACUGACAGACGGUCUAGAUAAAAACAAGCCGAUGGCAAGAUGACAGGCGCAAGAAUAAAGUGAUAUUUUAAUUUGAAAAAUCCCAGCACCUCAUUUGAGUUGGGUGGAGCUCCAAACACCAGGCAGAAAUAUGUCAGGUAAACACACACACACAUUCUCGCUCUUUCUCUCUCUGCAGCUCUGAUUGAGUGCAAGUGUCUGCGUUGGCGGUCAAGGUCAGCUGAUAAUGGGAGAGAGUGAGGACAGGGUGAGGCGGCGGGGGGGUCGGCAGCAGUCUCAGGGUCCUUCAGGAUUUCAUGCAGAGACCUGCGAAUGAGCACUGACGUCUACCUUCAUCUGAGUGUAGAUGAAAGACGCAGGGAAUCGCAUAUGGUUCCACACACGCACACCAACACAGACGCUCGUCAUACUUCCCUUUGUUUUGCUAAUGAAAAUCUUUUCCAUCGCUGUCAUCUGCUGCAAGACUGCGAUUGAAGAUAAAAGAAUAUUAACCACAUAAACCUGUAAUAUACCUAUGAAACUAUUAACAACUUCAUGUUACGUGAGUGAUGCAUUUUAGUGUUUUUGCUGUUUGGCAUGAGAAAGUUUUUAAAGUGGGGUAAUUUGAUGAAACACCAUAUUUUAAAUGAUAAGGGAAUAACAUGAAAUGAAAUGAAGUAAAAAUAUAAAUUAGAACAAAAGAAAGGCAGUCAGUUCACCUUCAAUACAUUAAAUAAAUAAUAGAUUUUAGCUUGAACUCCCUGGAUAACACUCUUUUAGUCAAAGACUGUAUAAGAAGAUAAAAAACUCAUAGACAAAUGAGCCUACUUGUCACUAGCUCUAUGACCUCAGUAAAUGUUUUCCUGGUGGCUUAACCCCAACUUCAACCCUUAUUUCAUUCAGCAUGAUGUUCACAUUGUAAAUUGUGGUUCAAAGUGAAACAGACAUCAAAUAAAGCAAGGUAAGUUUUUAAGUUCAACUUUUGGUUUCAAAAAGCCAAGAUAAUAAGAAUGUAUACUUUAUUGAUCCCCGUGGGGAAAUUCAUCUCUGCAUUUAACCCACUCAGUGAAGCAGUGAGCAGCCACCAAUCUAGCAACCGGGGAGCAGUGUGUAGGGACGGUACCUUGCUCAGGGGCACCUCAGGGUAGCCGUUCAGUGGAUUCAAACCCCCGACCUUCUGAUCAUGGGGCCACCGCUCUACCUACUUAGCUAUCGCUGCCCUGACGAACAAAAUACUCGCCUCAAGAUUUCCAAAUGGGAUUUCAUAUAAAAACAAGUAGUGUCACAGUAGUCACGUCCAUCUUUUAUAUACAGUCUAUAGAUAAUUCACUUACACUUUGAUUCCUUUGGUUGCAAAACAUCUAACCAGCAUAUAGAAGCCUGCAUAUGAAUCCUUGCAAUCAAUUGAAUUUUUUUCACUAAAUUGAACAGCACCAUUACUGGCCAUUAAAAAAAUGUCAAAUCACAUACAUUGUAGUCUCGAUUAUCAAAUGCAGUCUUUGUGGUUUCCAUAGAAAGCCAAGUCUUUCUAUGGAUUAUUAAGAAAAAAUUUAAUCAGUUUUCUCGCUCCUCGCGGAUCAUCCACGAGGUCCUUCCUCAGUUCGUCAGCCCUCCUCCACCACCCUACCCUCAGUGCACCUACGUUGCAUUAUUAAACUUGAAUAAGAUCAUUAGCAUACAAAGCAGGAAACCCACCGCCGUGGAGUCAUACAUAUUUAUCUGCCUGACUUGUGCAUGCAUACACUCGUACUGUAACCCCUUUUGCAACCAAGGGAGAGUGGUUUUCUACUGCAAGAGGGCUGCGAACAGAGACUGUGAAGUGGAUAUUAAUAGGAGCAUGUCUAGUUUUAAAAAGCAGAUAUCUAUUUGUGAAACAUCUAAAGAAACACAGGCUUUCAUUUGAAAUACACAUUAAACCAUGUGCGGCUGCCUGGAGAAAAAUGUGUGCAUUUGGAAGCAGAGCAGAUGGAGUUUGGUUAGGUUCAUCAGAGCAGCUUCCAGCAUAUCAAAUAUAGUUUACACACAGAGGAAUUUCUGAAUCUAGUAAUGCCUGCAGUACAUAGUCAUCUGCUGCACACAGAAGCACAUAAUCAAACAGAAAGAAAGACAAACAGAGAGCAUGGCCUUCUGAAUACCUAUCAACUGUGGAUUACCUCUGCCUUCUAAAUGACUCCUUGUUGCUUUCCUUGUAUCAUCCCCUUGCAAAAUUAACUUUCUCCUCGCCCACCCUCCCUGUGUUUUACCCACUUGUAAAUCACUUUUCCUCCUUUUCCUCGUCUUUCCAGCUGAGAGAACAACCUAUCUCCUUUUUUGGCUACGUGAAGUUCCUUUUUAAUACGCUUCCCUCCUUCCUUCCUUCUUUCUCCUUCCUCCUGUGAGAUUGCUGUUGUGUCUUAUGGCUUUUUAUUCCUACGUGAUGGUAGAUGGGUUCAUGUAGGAGUAGAAGCCACUAAACACGCGGCGAGUGCUCAACACGCUGGCCAACACAUGCAGCGAGCUUCCUGUGGAUAUGACAGCUGCCAUGUUCACAUCAAUGUCCUGCCUAUUAUCAAGAAUGUACACACACAUUAUAAAUAGAACAAGGAUGAUCCCUGCCGAGAGUGUUUACCACUCUGGAUAAAAGUUUUAGUGGGGGGAAAAUCGAAAAUUAAACAGCUAAUUGCAAACAAUUAAGCAGAACGCUCAGCAAGUAAGGGCUGACGAGUCAAUCUUUGGUUGUGAACAGACCUACUUUUCCCACCUGCAUGCUGGCAUGUGCCCUGAAUUUCAAACUCAUUCCUGCAUUCCUAUGCCCUGGGGUCAUUGUGCCGAGUUCUCGAAAUGGAGAUGAGGAUGGAAAAAUAAGUGAAACAAUGUGCAGAGGUAGGUCAUCAAUAUUCUUUGGUAACGUACGUGAUGUAGUCUGUUUUCUCCUUUGAAUGUAAAUAAAUGCUGUACACGAAAAGCUGUUACAGGCUGCUGUAUCUAAAUACGUUUUACAUCAGGUCUAACAUGAUUUGCAUUUUACUUAAUGGUAUAAAGUGCCAUGAGAGGAAGGUGUGAGUUGGCACUAUAUACACGUAAAUUAAUUUAACUUCUAAUUGAAAAAGGCUUCAGUUUAAAAUAGUUUAUUGCCAUCCAAGUAAAACUGUGAGGCUGUGAAGUUGUACUUUGGCAAAGAACAUUUAAAGUUGUUAUAGUGAUUUUUAUUGAUGUAAGUGAAAUAACCUUUAAAUACACAAAAAGUCAAUACCCAAAACCGAACCUAACAAAGCAAAAAAACAAGAAAAAACAUUAUUUUUUAAGUUAAAUUAUAUUAUUACUGUACUAAUUAAAACUGCAUCUGUGUGGGCUGUAACUCCCUCAUCAGUCAUGAAGGUGCCUUAUAUAUAAUUAAAAUAGAUGGGAUUAUAGUAAAUAUAAUAAAUGUAAUAUUCCUAACUUUUAAAGUUUUAUAUUAUUUAAUCCUCUAGGUUAAACUUGAGUUAAAUGAAAAUACUUUUGAUUAAUUCUACAUAGUCCUUCAACAAUCAAACACAUUUUUCUACAUUUGUUUUCUUCUUCUUAGAUUAAUAAAGAACUUUUGACUAUAGAUUCAUAGGUUACUUUAAAACUCAAGUAAAACACAUUUUUAAAAAUAAUAUGAUCUAAUGAAACAAGGCCAUAAGGUUUGAAAAUAACUUGCUAUUAUCUUUCCUCUUUGGACUGAUGUUUUAAAUCCUUUUAUAUGUCCUUAGAAGGAUUUUCCGCUUGUGUAAAAGUUAACCCAAACCCUUAGUCACAACUAUCUGCAGAAGGUUGUGACAGACUGAGAUUUUAGAAUUUAUAGCAGUUGUCUCUUUUAAAAUUAUUGGCAAUUACAGGUAAAACAAAUUUUUUUUGUAUGUUUCUUUUGUUUUUAAUAAAUCCAGUUCCCUUUAAUUAAAAAAAAAACAUUUUCUUAGUUGGUUCAUCUUUAUUUUAGCUCGUCCUGACAUUUGGUAAUUAACAGGUAAAUGGUACUGAGAUGAGAAUGUCAUUCGUUUUGAAGCUCAAGAGCCAAAGUAUUUAAAAAAAAAGUUUGCUCUUGACUAAGUAAUGGAGCUAAAUGAGAAAUCAGAGGAUCACCAAAGUAAUUACAGUUCAGCUCGAGGGGGUCUCAAACGUCUACACCAAAAUUCCCAUCCAUCAUGUAGAAGUUGAAGCAUAUUUCGAAAAACCAUAAAAGUUAAGUAAUUUACGGCUCCGGAGGAGAAGUAAUAAGACCCCCAAUGUUAGGAUUCUCCAUCUGAGAACCAUAAACCAUGAAUGAAACUCAAGUCUGGACUCAAUGACAUCACCAUCUGUAGUUUGACAUCGGUAGCAUGGUUGAAAACUUGAUCUGCACUUGAUAAGAAGGAGUUUUCACCACGAACAAACACAUUCUGAUACAUUGUAUCAGAGCCCACCUCUCUUUGUGAGGGUGUAUUUCUUUAAAUCGAACCCCUUUAAACUCUUAAGCACCAGCAUGAAAACAGUGACUCAGCUCAGUGUGAACCCCUUGUCUGCUCACAAAUUAGGUCCAAAUUUUCACCAGCUCAAAAUGGCUAAUAAUGGCAUUUAUCAGCGGUAACUUUCUGCCUGAGCUGAACUCAGUGUCAACCAAUUAAGCAAGAAAUUCAAAUUAUCCUGCUGCUGGGUCCAGUAGGGUGCUGUGGGGGCUUGGGUUUAAAUGUCAACCUUCUGUUUGUAUUUGCUGUGCAAUGAGCUGUUCUCAUUCAGUCUCCCCCUGGACAGAAUCUGAAUAAAACCCAAAUGGGUUGUUGCUGCGAACCCCAAAAAAUAAUGAAUUAUUAAUCCCACGAUAUUACAAGAUUUUGGCAGACGCUUGCAACUGUGUGACAUUACUCCAGCACCAAUAAAGGGGCCGAUAAUUAUUCAAGAUGAAAUUGUAAUAGAGGAGGUCUGCAGAGGUUUAAUGAUUUAUUUAAGACUGUACGUUGUUGUGAUCUAAUAUUCAGUGGGUGGGUUGGGAAGUUUCUUUUGCUUGCAUUAUCAGUGUAAUUUAUUUUUCAGGUUCCCACUCCUACAUUGGCUUUUUCUCUGACUUUACAGAGACAUGAGGAGGCUUGAGAGAAUAGU